rnacentral:lncRNA from 1 species
UAUUUUUCCUGUUAAGAUAACUUAUUCGCUCCUCUAGUUCACUGACCUGUCAUUAUUACCAUAGAGUAUUUGCAUUGUUUUAUUUCCCUUUCCUUAUGAUACUGACGCUGAUAACUUUUGAAUUGAAUUUAUGUAGUGGGUUUGGGAUUUCAUUUCUCUCCCUGUCACUUUCCACUGAGAAGGGGAGGAUUCCCGUCUCCUGUUCCUCAUGCACCCAUCUGCAAAUGUUCCUGUAGCCCUGCAGUUAUACCAACAGCCUCUUCCCAGCAUCCUGUGUCCACAAUUGUGCCAGUCUAUACAUGCUCUGUUGUGCCCUGUGACUUAUCUGCUUGGUAUUUCUAUUGCUUUCACUGUUUUAGGUAUUGUGGAAGGAUAUAAAACCAAACAGAAACAAAGGAGUGAACGAAUGUAAUGAGAGUCGAGAAGAUUUCUGUUAGGGGGAUAGUUUUUAUUUAGGUGAUUUCUUCCCAUAUAACAGCAAUGCUAAGCCAUUGAAAGUUUCCACCUAAGAAUUAGUUUGGGUCCAUUAGUCUCUUUUCCAAGCCUCUUUUGUUAUGGAUCUCCUUUUCAGUCUAUCUCUUCCCUAGGCAAAAGGUUUAACUAAACUAGUAGCAAAGAAAUUGAGACUUUGCAUCCUGGGGAAGAGAUUUAUCUCCACCCCAUAACUCAUAGAUGGUAGGUAGGUGUCAGGCAGGGCUCUCUUUAUAGUGUUCUGGUAACCCCUGCUUCUGUUUUCAGAUUCAUAAGGCAUCAUUGUUAGUAGUUUAUGGAGGCGUUCAAGAGAAAAACCUGCUUGGCCAAGAGCAUUAGCCACCUUCAGAUUAACCUGAAAAGAGUUCAAGGUUGACAACAGCAUCUUAUAGAGACCAUCAGGAAAAGAGAGAGGCUUGAUCUAAGAUAAUAUACCAGUAAUUUGCAUCACUGAAAUUAUAAGAAACAUCCCCAAUUGUUAGCAGAUUGCAUGGAUAAUCUCUGUCUCCUUUUUUUGCCCUUACUGUCUUUCAGGUAGAGGAUUGCGAGUAUGGGAUAGUUAGAGCCAUUAUGGCACUCAAAGCAGGCUUUGUUCCAGACAGACUCCCAUCCCAGGACAACUGAGGCAAGUGGUAGAGAAGCCUAGGGCUACUUUUACAUCUGGGGGAAAAGAAAAGAUCUGAGGUAGAACACUGAAGUUAUUUCUUGGCAGGGUUUCCAUUUGACCAGAAUGUUUCCCACAAAAAUCAGAAUCCUCAUGAGUACAAGAGUGCUUAUUCUUUGUCAUUUAGCCCUUUCUAUGGCUAGAGAUUGGAGCAAGAACAAUAGAAUAUAAAGAAGUGUGAAAACCCACCCUAUCCAGGAAUCUGGAGAUUGUGUCUGUCCUGGACCUCACAAGAAAAUACUUCAUUAUAAAAAAAAAAGAUCUAAGCUUACCAAGUAGCAACCAUAGCUGUAUGAGGUCUUCAAAAAAGCUGAAUUUGUACUUCUUGACCUAGAUUAAGCCCUACCCCUGAGAAUCUUUCCCCUCUGAAAAACAAAUUACACAUUGUUGUCAGACUUUGUAGUUAUCAAGGCUAACUAGCAGAAUACCAGGGCUCGGGACUGGCUAUCACUGCUCAGCAUAUGAUAGAGCUACAUAAGCCCUUAUGGCAAGAAAUCUGGCAUCGAGCACAUAGACUACAAUGCUCUCCCUUGGCAAACUGAAAUGUGUUUCACUUCCUAUGCAGGCCUCCCUUAUUGCACCUUCAUUUCCUACUUUCUACCCAUUCUCACUAGGCUUGGCCUUGGCAACUUUCUCCCAGGGUUAGGAGCACACCAGGAGGGCUUGUUUUGAAAGGUUUCUAGAUCUAUAGUAUCUUUUGGCCAGACCUUCUCAUUCUUUUCCCCUUUCUGAGUCCAACAUUCAAGGCUCCCAGAUCAGGGGUAUUACCUCUCAUCAUCCUGUUUCUCCAUCCAGUCCACUAACCUUACAAGAUGUAGUAAUUUGUGAAGGCACUACCAACUCCGCUCUCCUUGGAUUGGAAUGCCUGGCUCCACCCUCACACCUACAGCUCCAAAUAGAUCAGUGGCCAGUAGCCCAAAGGGAAACUCAUCAAUUCCCUGGACUCAGUAGCUGAACCUGCUGCAGCCCCACGGCCAUAUAAUCCCCCCC